GACAGAGGGUGCAAACGUUGUUCGGAAUUACUGGGCGUAAAGCGCGUAUAGGCGGUCUCGCAAGUCGGAUGUGAAAGCCCAGGGCUCAACCCUGGAAGUGCACUCGAUACUGCGAGGCUAGAGUCCCGGAGAGGAUGGUGGAACUCUCGGUGUAGAGGUGAAAUUCGUAGAUAUCGAGAAGAACACCGGUGGCGAAGGCGGCCAUCUGGACGGUGACUGACGCUGAGACGCGAAAGCGUGGGGAGCAAACAGG
rnacentral:rRNA from 1 species